rnacentral:rRNA from 1 species
AGAGUUUGAUCCUGGCUCAGGAUGAACGCUGGCGGCGUGCUUAACACAUGCAAGUCGAACGAUGAUCCGGUGCUUGCACCGGGGAUUAGUGGCGAACGGGUGAGUAACACGUGAGUAACCUGCCCUUGACUCUGGGAUAAGCCUGGGAAACUGGGUCUAAUACCGGAUAUGACUCCUCAUCGCAUGGUGGGGGGUGGAAAGCUUUUGCGGUUUUGGAUGGACUCGCGGCCUAUCAGCUUGUUGGUGAGGUAAUGGCUUACCAAGGCGACGACGGGUAGCCGGCCUGAGAGGGUGACCGGCCACACUGGGACUGAGACACGGCCCAGACUCCUACGGGAGGCAGCAGUGGGGAAUAUUGCACAAUGGGCGCAAGCCUGAUGCAGCGACGCCGCGUGAGGGAUGACGGCCUUCGGGUUGUAAACCUCUUUCAGUAGGGAAGAAGCGAAAGUGACGGUACCUGCAGAAGAAGCGCCGGCUAACUACGUGCCAGCAGCCGCGGUAAUACGUAGGGCGCAAGCGUUAUCCGGAAUUAUUGGGCGUAAAGAGCUCGUAGGCGGUUUGUCGCGUCUGCCGUGAAAGUCCGGGGCUCAACUCCGGAUCUGCGGUGGGUACGGGCAGACUAGAGUGAUGUAGGGGAGACUGGAAUUCCUGGUGUAGCGGUGAAAUGCGCAGAUAUCAGGAGGAACACCGAUGGCGAAGGCAGGUCUCUGGGCAUUAACUGACGCUGAGGAGCGAAAGCAUGGGGAGCGAACAGGAUUAGAUACCCUGGUAGUCCAUGCCGUAAACGUUGGGCACUAGGUGUGGGGGACAUUCCACGUUCCGCGCCGUAGCUAACGCAUAAGUGCCCGCAUGGAGAUCCGAU